rnacentral:rRNA from 1 species
GUGCCAGCAGCCGCGGUAAUUCCAGCUCCAAUAGCGUAUAUUAAAGUUGUUGCAGUUAAAAAGCUCGUAGUUGGAUCUCGGGUCCCGGCCUGCGGUUCACCACACGGUGUCUACUGCCCGUCCGGACCUACCUGCCGGUUUUCCCCUGGUUCUCUUCGUUGAGUGCCUCGGGUGGCCGGAACGUUUACUUUGAAAAAAUUAGAGUGUUCAAAGCAGGCGGUUCGCCUGAAUAAUGGUGCAUGGAAUAAUGGAAUAGGACCUCGGUUCUAUUUUGUUGGUUUUCGGAAGUCGAGGUAAUGAUUAAGAGGGACAGACGGGGGCAUUCGUAUUACGGUGUUAGAGG